rfam:Anopheles christyi strain ACHKN1017 cont1.3199, whole genome shotgun sequence.
AGCAAUACUCCACUGAUACGGGAAUGGAUCCGAAGCCUCCAGAAGGCUAACAUAGGCUCUCCUUU